AGUGAACGCUGGCGGUAGGCCUAACACAUGCAAGUCGAACGGCAGCACAGUAAGAGCUUGCUCUUACGGGUGGCGAGUGGCGGACGGGUGAGGAAUACAUCGGAAUCUACUUUUUCGUGGGGGAUAACGUAGGGAAACUUACGCUAAUACCGCAUACGACCUACGGGUGAAAGCAGGGGAUCUUCGGACCUUGCGCGAUUGAAUGAGCCGAUGUCGGAUUAGCUAGUUGGCGGGGUAAAGGCCCACCAAGGCGACGAUCCGUAGCUGGUCUGAGGGGAUGGUCAGCCACACUGGAACUGAGACACGGUCCAGACUCCUACGGGAGGCAGCAGCGGGGAAUAUUGGACAAUGGGCGAAAGCCUGAUCCAGCAAUACCGCGUGGGUGAAGAAGGCCUUCGGGUUGUAAAGCCCUUUUGUUGGGAAAGAAAAGCAGCAGGUUAAUACCCCGCUGUUCUGACGGUACCCAAAGAAUAAGCACCGGCUAACUUCGUG
rnacentral:rRNA from 1 species